rnacentral:rRNA from 9 species
AGUGUCAAAAGGGCGUUUAGUGGAUGCCUUGGCAUGUAGAGGCGAUGAAGGACGUAGCACGCUGCGAUAAGUCUCGGGGAGUUGCGAGCAGACUUUGAUCCGAGAAUUUCCGAAUGGGGAAACCCACCGCUUAUGCGGUAUCACACACUGAAUACAUAGGUGUGUGAGGCAAACCCGGGGAACUGAAACAUCUAAGUACCCGGAGGAAAGGAAAUCAAUUGAUACUCCCCUAGUAGCGGCGAGCGAACGGGAAUUAGCCCUUAAGCUAAUUGUAAGCCAGUGGAAUGUGUUGGAAAGCACAACGGUACAAGGUGAUAGUCCUGUACACAAAGGCGAACUUUAAGUGAAAUCGAGUAGGUCGGGACACGUGUUAUCUUGACUGAAUAUGGGGGGACCAUCCUCCAAGGCUAAAUACUCCUAACUGACCGAUAGUGAACCAGUACCGUGAGGGAAAGGCGAAAAGAACCCCUGUGAGGGGAGUGAAAUAGAACCUGAAACCGUAUACGUACAAGCAGUGGGAGCAGACUUGUUCUGUGACUGCGUACCUUUUGUAUAAUGGGUCAGCGACUUAUAUUUUGUAGCGAGGUUAACCGAAUAGGGGAGCCGUAGUGAAAGCGAGCGUUAACUGCGCGUCUAGUUGCAAGGUAUAGACCCGAAACCCGGUGAUCUAGCCAUGGGCAGGUUGAAGGUUGAGUAACAUCAACUGGAGGACCGAACCCACUGACUUUGAAAAGUCAGGGGAUGACCUGUGGCUGGGGGUGAAAGGCCAAUCAAACCGGGAGAUAGCUGGUUCUCCCCGAAAGCUAUUUAGGUAGCGCCUCGGACGAACACCAUGGGGGGUAGAGCACUGUUAAGGCUAGGGGGUCAUCCCGACUUACCAACCCUUUGCAAACUCCGAAUACCCAUGAGUGCUAUCCGGGAGACACACGGCGGGUGCUAACGUCCGUCGUGAAGAGGGAAACAACCCAGACCGCCAGCUAAGGUCCCAAAAUAUUGCUAAGUGGGAAACGAUGUGGGAAGGCUAAGACAGCUAGGAGGUUGGCUUAGAAGCAGCCAUCCUUUAAAGAAAGCGUAACAGCUCACUGGUCAAGCGCUCCUGCGCGGAAAAUGUAACGGGGCUUAAGUGAUACACCGAAGCUGCGGAUUCGAUCUUUGAUCGAGUGGUAGCGGAGCGUUCCGUAGGCCGAUGAAGGUGGACCCGCGAGGGCCGCUGGAGGUAUCGGAAGUGAGAAUGCUGACAUGAGUAGCGAUAAAGAGUGUGAGAGACACUCUCGCCGAAAGUCCAAGGGUUCCUGCUUAAAGCUAAUCUGAGCAGGGUAAGCCGACCCCUAAGGCGAGGCCGAAAGGCGUAGUCGAUGGGAACCAGGUUAAUAUUCCUGGGCCAGAUGGAAGUGACGAAUCUCGAGGGUAGUUCAUCCUUAUUGGAUUGAAUGGGCUGCUAAGAGGUUCCUGGAAAUAGCUCUAACAUAAGAUCGUACCCUAAACCGACACAGGUGGACUGGUUGAGCAUACCAAGGCGCUUGAGAGAACGACGCUGAAGGAACUCGGC